rnacentral:lncRNA from 1 species
CAGGAGAAGAUGCUCUCAGAGCAUAUUGCUUGUUCAGGAGCUGUAUUGGCUCUGCACCUGUUGAUGUUUGAUUUCUGCAGCCGUGAGAAGCCUUGGACUGUCAAGGCAAAGAGCUAUUCAUUCAGAGGAUCCAUUUGGGAGUUUGUGUUCGGAUGGAAAAGGUAUCCAAUGACUAAAAUAAAGAAUACAGCUGAACCAGGCACAGUGGUGCAUGCCUGUAAUCCCAGCAUCUUGGGAGGCUGAGGCAGGAGAAUUGCGAGUUCAAAGCCAGCCUCAGCAAAAGCAAGGUGCUAAGCAACUCAGUGAGACCCUGUCUCUAAAUAAAAUACAAAAUAGGGCUGGGGAUGUGGCUCAGUGGUCAAGGGCCCCUGAUUCAAUCCCCGGUACUUCCCCCCACACAAAAAAAGAAUACAGCUGAACCCUCCCCACUUAAGCUCAGAGGAGACACACCCAGGUUGGCCUGGCUCUGUGUCCCCUGGGCAUGUUCCCUAAUCUCUCCAGCCUUCAAUUUUCUUAUCUGUAAAAUGCAGUUAAUCCUCAAGAUACAGGCCAUCCCCAGAAGAGGCUGUGAGGAUUAACAGUCAUGGGGGUAGAGUGCCCAGCUCCAAUUAGCCACACCACCACACUGAUAGAGGCCUGUCUGCAGACUACUCAGGUACAAGCAAAGCUUUUGCCAUGCAUGUUGGUGAGGUGGACCAGCAUUCCAGACUCCUCAGGCCACAGUGAAUGGGAUCUAGGAAGGGCUGAAUGCCCUACUCUGCAACUUGGGCUUAAGGUGCCUCACUUGUCCUUUGAAAAAUCUUAGGAAAUCCUCAUGCAUUGCUGGUGAGAAUGUAAAACUUUGCAGCCACUGUGGGAAACUGGCAGUUUCUCAGAAAGGUAAGUAUAGUUACCAUGUGACCCAGCAUUUCCAUUCCUAGGUAUGUACCCAGGCUAAAUGAGAACAUAUGUCCAUGCGGGAACUUGUAUGUGAAUGUUCAUUGCAGCAUCACUCAUUGCAGAAUUAUUCACUAUAGACAAAAAAUGGACACAAGCCAGUACCCAUCGACUGGAGAAUGGAAUCAACGAAAUGUGUGCAUUUGUACAGUGGACUAUUCUGUGGCUGUAAAAGGAACAAAAUACUGAUGUGGAUGGAUCUUGAAAACAAGCUACGUGAAAUAAUCGACACACAAACGGAUAAAUACCAUGUGAC